UGGGGAAUUUUGGACAAUGGACGCAAGUCUGAUCCAGCCAUGCCGCGUGCGGGAAGAAGGCCUUCGGGUUGUAAACCGCUUUUGUCAGGGAAGAAACGAGUUUCUCUAAUACAGAGACUUAAUGACGGUACCUGAAGAAUAAGCACCGGCUAACUACGUGCCAGCAGCCGCGGUAAUACGUAGGGUGCGAGCGUUAAUCGGAAUUACUGGGCGUAAAGCGUGCGCAGGCGGUUAUGCAAGACAGAUGUGAAAUCCCCGGGCUCAACCUGGGAACUGCAUUUGUGACUGCAUAGCUGGAGUGCGGCAGAGGGGGAUGGAAUUCCGCGUGUAGCAGUGAAAUGCGUAGAUAUGCGGAGGAACACCGAUGGCGAAGGCAAUCCCCUGGACCUGUACUGACGCUCAUGCAUGAAAGCGUGGGGAGCAAACA
rnacentral:rRNA from 1 species